rnacentral:lncRNA from 1 species
GACUACGAAUCGACAUUGUAGCUUAGGAAAGUUUCAUUUCAUCCGUGGAUCCUGAAGAGCAAGGUAUCCUCUCUCCGUCGUACCUUUUUUCACAUCGAUUCGUUAUAUAUUUCUUGCAUUUUUGAACUUAGGGUUUUCAUGCAAAUGUAGGAUGCCGAGGCGUGGAAAAGCUAAGAAACUAAGGUAAUCUCAACGCCCGUAGUUAUGUUAUAUACUCAUUGUUGUGUAUCAAAUGAAAAAACCUUAAAUGUAGGUUUAUUCCUAAGUGCGUUUGAUUCAUAGAACCAAAUAAACAAAAUUGUAGUUAUGGCGCUAAGAAGACCGGAAAUGCGUUCGAUCCAUUGCCUCUGCCUAGUGGUGUUCCAGUGCCGAUGUGCUUUUGCGGCGAUCCUUGCAAGGUAGCCAAGUCCGAAGAACAUGCC